GCGUAAGCGCGCGCAGGCGGUUUCUUAAGUCUGAUGUGAAAGCCCACGGCUCAACCGGGGAGGGGCAUUGGAAACUGGGGAACUUGAGUGCAGAAGAGAGAGGCGGAAUUCCACGUGUAGCGGUGAAAUGCGUAGAGAUGUGGAGGAACACCAGUGGCGAAGGCGGCCUUCUGGACUGUAACUGACGCUGAGGCGCGAAAGCGUGGGGAGCAAACAGGAUUAGAUACCCUGGUAGUCCGCGCCGUAGACGAUGUCUGCUAGGCGUUGGACUCCUUGCGCCUUUUAUGG
rnacentral:rRNA from 1 species